GUGCUGGCUUUGGCAGCACAUGUACUAAAAUUGGAACGAUGUAGAGAAGAUUAGCAUGACCUCUGCACAAGGAUGACACAAAUUUAUAAAGUGUUCCAUAUUUAA
rnacentral:snRNA from 1 species